UACGGAGGGUGCGAGCGUUAUCCGGAAUGAUUGGGCGUAAAGCGUCCGCAGGUGGCUGUGUAAGUCUGCUGUUAAAGAGUGAGGCUCAACCUCAUAAAGGCAGUGGAAACUACAUGGCUAGAGUGCGUUCGGGGCAGAGGGAAUUCCUGGUGUAGCGGUGAAAUGCGUAGAGAUCAGGAAGAACACCGGUGGCGAAAGCGCUCUGCUAGGCCGCAACUGACACUGAGGGACGAAAGCUAGGGGAGCGAAUGGG
rnacentral:rRNA from 1 species